rnacentral:lncRNA from 1 species
AUGUUUUAUUUCAGAAUGGCGUCCAAAGGAAUGGGAGUUCUCCUUCUGCUCGGGAUUUUUGCUGUGACUGUCUCCCAGAUGUCUGCUUUUCCCACACCUGCCGAGGAUGAUAAAGCUGUAGUUUACAACAGACGACUGACUGAGGAGAGACCAAUCCAGGAGCAGGUAAACUAUCUCUUUCUCUCUCUCUCCUUCUCUCUCUCUCUCUCUCUCUCUCUAAACUAUCCCCCGUGCUAUCUCCAGACUGAUAUCAUGUCAAAUAGACUUUGUGGAGGGGAGAGUUCUCAAACAUCAACCACAUCAUAUCAAACCAGACUGGAGCAACAGUAAACAAGCAAAGCUAUUAUGUUGAAGAUGAUUAACAGAGAAAUGUUUACACUGUUCAUGUUCUUUUCCACAGAUUGCAGAGGCAGAUGAUGUGAAAGCAGCAGUGGAGUCUGCAGGUAAGUGGAUACUUCUCAGGCAAUCAAUCAAUAUUGUUAUUACAUACAUUUGAAUAUGGAUGUGAAUAGU